GAAGCUCACAGAGGACUCUUUGCCUACAGGCUAGAGGCAGUCUGAAACCCAGCUGUUUCAACUUUCAUUAUCUUGUCUCUUUAUAUCUGGAAGUUAUUUUUUAAAUAACAAUUCUUCCCCCCAUCCCAUCCCCUAUAUCUUUAAUUAGGCCAUUCAACCAACUUUGUGGUGACUAUCCUUUUACCCUCCAAUCGGUCUAAAGACUACUGGAUUGCUAAGGGAUCAGCUUUGCUCUGCCAACUGAAUGAGUGAACAAAUGCCACAUUAGUCCAGAGGUCUUCCCUGAUGGAGGGGAAAGUUUGACCAAUUUACAUUGGAGCAAAAUGAUGUUACUUCUGAUUUGACUUAAGGUAGUAAGUAAGUAUGGCUGUUUCUCUUAUGACUUAAAAUAAAGUGUUCUGAGUUCUUUCUGUUAGUAAUCCAGGCUUUGAUGUGAAGACGGUGGGUUCUGCACCCACCUAUUAAACCUGUUCCUUCAUCCAUGUGAGAGUCAGGCCUCUUCCCAUCAGUAACCUGAGGGACCCACUGGAAGAGUCAGGACUUAUCCCCUCACCUACACAGGCUCCCUUCCUCAUCACACUCUUAUGAAAGGUCAAUGUGUACUUUAAUCACAUAGCCCUGGGUGCUUCUGUUUCUAGACUAAUUAAGGCUCUCAGAACCCAGCACCUGGGGAGUGAAUUCAGUGGUUGCAACAACUGGUAAAGCAAAUGAGCAGGAAGAUAAGAUCUUGGCCAUGGUGCCAGUUACCUGACUCUAUGAGGUUAUAUUACAAACCUUGGAAGGGCCUUCAUUUUCAUAAAAGUGCAGGCUGCUCCUGCCCAAGUACAGAGGAAUUUUCCUCCUUUAUUUUAAUAUGAACCUGGGUGAAAACUAACCAAGUCCCCACCAGGUAUGUUUGAGCCCAUCACCUCAAAAGCAGAGGUUGUUGGCCCAGUGAAUAAGUGGAGCAGCCCAUUUUGAGAAACAUUUUAUGCCAGCCCUUCCAACAAGGAUCAUUGCUUCCUUGGCCAUAACAUAAUCCAGGAAAUUGGGGAAACCACACAUAUGAGCCUCUGGAAAAAGCCACACCACCCUCUUACAAAAUGUGGGAGGAAUAGGAUCAACCACAGUGAUCCUACUGUCCCAUUUUAUCUCUGCCCCCUACCUUUAUCUCCACUUCUGACAAAAUUAACUCAAGGACUUGAGUGGGACCAAUAAGAAGUAGUUGUGUUUGCUCCAAAUCUGGUUUAGGAUAAAUUUGAUUGUCUGGGCUUGUAGCUUUGACUUCCCUUCCUUUCCUGAGGCUUUCUUGUGAGCUCAUUCUCAAUCAACUUGACUCAAGUUGCAAAAAAGUAUGGAGUCCCAUUUCUAUCAGAGUUCAAUGCAAAGACUACUCUUGGGUAUUUCAAGCAUAAAUAGGAGCCAACAAAGGCACUUCUACAGCUACAGAAGUCAGAGGGUCAAUAUCAGGCACCAUGGAAGCUAUAAUCCAAAGUCAGAAAGCUACAGGAAAGUGUCAACCUCAUAGGUGCUCCACACCCAUGAAGGUGACCAGAGUAUGAAGCAAAGCCUGGCCACUGCACAAACUUAUGUCUUCUGGAGACUGCAUGAUUGCUGCCACCAAUGAAGAAAAAGACACUCUGCCCACUCCUGCUUUCCAAACCUUACUCAUUGUGUCUCAUUAGGAGAAUCUAAAUCAUAGCAGCAAGGAAAUCUGGAAGUUUUUAGCCCUCCUACCUCCUAUAGUACACGGGUUACAAAAUGAAACAAAGGAUCCUAAGUGCUAUUGCACUACUUUUGUUAAGGCCACAAAAAUGAUUGAGAAUGAGCUCACAAGAAAGCCUCAUGAAAGGAAGGAAAGGCAAAGCUACAAGCCCAGGCAAUCAAGCUUACUCUAAACCAGAUUUGGAACAAACACAACUACUUCUUAUUGGUCCCACUCAAGUCCCAAGCAGACCUACUUGGAGUUUUGUGAGCUACUCAGAGGCCUAGGAGGACCAGAAGGGAACCUUGCCACAGGGAGGAGAUCCUGGUCUGAAAUUUGGGGAUUAGAAGAAGAUAGAUGAUCUGGAGAGGGUGUAACGUUCCCAUUUCAGACACAAUUAGGGCAGUUCUGCAAUUA
rnacentral:lncRNA from 1 species